rnacentral:miRNA from 1 species
CUGACCUGAGGCCUCUGCUGCA